rnacentral:lncRNA from 1 species
UGGGUCCAGGGUAGUUUGGACGUCUUUUUAGCCAGCAAUCUUCAUGAUGUAUUAUUGUCUAUCUUCCCUCCACCUUUUGUUCCUUUUUUUUUUUUUUUUUGGUAGAUCUCACUGAUGGGCCUGAGUUAAUCCUGUACCACCACCACCACCACCAUCAUCAUCAUUUCUCUCCCUUGAAGCCCUCUGUGGAACAAGACACAUCUCAAAGCUUCUGGCUGUUUCUUCUGCAUCUCAGAACUAAUUUCAGAAAUCACUGGUGCACCAAGUUCACCAAAUCUCUGGGGAGAGGAGACGCCAACCUGAGGAGCAACGUUGGUUGUAAAGCACACCUCUGGACCAAGUCUUCACUGGAGGAGUACCAUAGUUGAAGAGCACAUGACCUCAUCAGCUCCAGAUUUCUCUUUUAGAUGUCAAAGAUGAGUCCUUUCAUGGAAAGAGGGAAAACAGGAAGAGAGACAAUGAGAAGCAAAGAGAAACGUCCAAUCCUGUUUGGGGCAAAUCAGUUCAUACUGUCUGGAAUAUCCAGGUGGAUU